rnacentral:lncRNA from 1 species
CUGCUGAAGCCACCUGUGGAAAGACUUUUAAUUAAUUUUGCCUGCAAUAAGGGGGAGAAAGGAUCUCUGCAGAAUUGUGCUUUUAUCCUUCGGAUAUCCCUGCACUGCAGACGGAGGCUUAAGCUCAUCCACCCUCUUCAUUGUGAGUGCGACGCUUACCUUAUGACUGUACCCUGCUCUUCAAUUCAUUGUUUGAGGAUGUCCUACAUGAGUGUAAUGAGCUUCAACGCGAUUCACCUCUUUCCCUGCCAUCUCAUGUCUUCUCAGACCCCUCCCCCAUCACUUCCUGCUUCCAACUUCAUGCCACCCUUUAUAAAACCCAACUGGGCCCGGCCAGGGCUUCCAAUAUUUCAUGGACGGGGAAGAUCAUCCACUGUGAAGAUGCCCGCUGUGGGCAGUCCAUCAAGAGCCCACAUCCCUGAUGGAAACUGAAUCUCCCUCCCCCAGCAGCCACCAGUUUGCCAUGUCGUCCGGAGCUUUUCACACUGGUGCCAAAAUUUUGCCGAGUUGUCAGGUCCAGAAAAUACUGUUCUGCAGGCGCUCCUAACAACCUCCACUCUUCAUAAUCGUUCUGACCCACUUUACAACAAUGUCUAAGCCUUAGAGU